rnacentral:rRNA from 2 species
ACUGCUCAGUAACACGUGGACAACCUGCCCUUAGGUUGGGUAUAAACCCGGGAAACUGGGUAUAAUCCCCUAUAAGUCUCGGCUGCUGGAAUGCACCGAGAUUAAAAGCUCCGGCGCCUAAGGAUGGGUCUGCGGCCUAUCAGGUAGUAGUGGGUGUAGCGUACCUACUAGCCUACGACGGGUACGGGUUGUGAGAGCAAGAGCCCGGAGAUGGAUUCUGAGACACGAAUCCAGGCCCUACGGGGUGCAGCAGGCGCGAAAACUUUACAAUGCUGGCAACAGCGAUAAGGGAACCUCGAGUGCCAGGUUACAAAUCUGGCUGUCGAGAUGCCUAAAAAGCAUUUCAUAGCAAGGGCCGGGCAAGACCGGUGCCAGCCGCCGCGGUAACACCGGCGGCUCGAGUGGUAACCGUUAUUAUUGGGUCUAAAGGGUCUGUAGCCGGCCGGAUAAGUCUCUUGAGAAAUCUGGCAGCUUAACUGUCAGGCUUUCAGGAGAUACUGUCUGGCUCGAGGCCGGGAGAGGUGAGAGGUACUUCAGGGGUAGGGGUGAAAUCUUGUAAUCCUUGAAGGACCACCAGUGGCGAAGGCGUCUCACCAGAACGGACCUGACGGCAAGGGACGAAAGCUAGGGGCACGAACCGGAUUAGAUACCCGGGUAGUCCUAGCCGUAAACGAUACUCGCUAGGUGUCGGCCACGGUGCGACCGUUGUCGGUGCCGUAGGGAAGCCGUGAAGCGAGCCACCUGGGAAGUACGGCCGCAAGGCUGAAACUUAAAGGAAUUGGCGGGGGAGCAC